UACGUAGGUGGCAAGCGUUGUUCGGAUUCAUUGGGCGUAAAGGGUGCGUAGGCGGUCGUGCAAGUCGGAUGUGAAAUCUCAGGGCUCAACCCUGAAACUGCAUUCGAUACUGCGUGGCUAGAGUGCUGGAGAGGAGACUGGAAUUUACGGUGUAGCAGUGAAAUGCGUAGAUAUCGUAAGGAAGACCAGUGGCGAAGGCGAGUCUCUGGACAGCAACUGACGCUGAGGCACGAAGGCCAGGGGAGCAAACGGG
rnacentral:rRNA from 1 species